CCCUUAGAUGUUCUGGGCCGCACGCGCGCUACACUGAUGAAUUCAACGAGCACUAACCUGUGCCGAAAGGUUCGGGUAAUCUUGUGAAAUUUCAUCGUGAUGGGGAUUGAUUCUUGCAAUUUUUAAUCAUAAACGAGGAAUGCCUAGUAAGCGUGAGUCAUCAGCUCACGUUGAUUACGUCCCUGCCCUUUGUACACACCGCCCGUCGCUCCUACCGAUUGAAUGUGCUGGUGAAAAGUUCGGAUUAGGAGUGGGGGAUAGCAAUAUUUCCCGCUUCCGAGAAAAUCUUUAAACCCUCCCAUUUAGAGGAAGGAGAAGUCGUAACA
rnacentral:rRNA from 1 species